rnacentral:rRNA from 1 species
GACGUAGGGCGCGAGCGUUGUCCGGAUUUAUUGGGCGUAAAGAGCUCGUAGGCGGCUUGUCGCGUCGUCCGUGAAAACCUGCGGCUCAACUGCAGGCUGGCGGUCGAUACGGGCAGGCUGGAGUUCGGUAGGGGAGACUGGAAUUCCUGGUGUAGCGGUGAAAUGCGCAGAUAUCAGGAGGAACACCGGUGGCGAAGGCGGAUCUCUGGGCCAUUACUGACGCUGAGGAGCGAAAGCGUGGGGAGCGAACAGG